rnacentral:rRNA from 1 species
GACGAACGCUGGCGGCGUGCUUAACACAUGCAAGUCGAACGGAAAGGCCCUGCUUUUGUGGGGUGCUCGAGUGGCGAACGGGUGAGUAACACGUGAGUAACCUGCCCUUGACUUUGGGAUAACUUAAGGAAACUGGGGCUAAUACCGGAUAGGAGAUUCUGCUGCAUGGUGGGGGUUGGAAAGUUUCGGCGGUCGGGGAUGGACUCGCGGGUUAUGAGCUUGUUGGUGGGGUAGUGGAUUACCAAGGCUUUGACGGGUAGCCGGCCUGGGAGGGUGACCGGCCACAUUGCUACUGAGGUACGGCCCAGACUCCUACGGUGGGCAGCAGUCGGGAGUAUUGCACAGUGAGCGCGAGCCUGUUACGAAGGCCCCGCGUUCGUAAUGCCGUCCUUCGGGUUGUAAACCGCUUUCGCCUAUGACGAAGCUUGAGUGACGGUAAUGAAUGAAUAAGCACCGGCUAACUACGUG